AACCCUCUCAGCCUUUGCUCCUUUACUGUGAGCGGGGUUGGACUUGGACGUCUGCGGGCCGACAAGGCCCGCUCGUCUUUAAAUGCAUUAGCUGGUCCCUAUGGUCAGGUCCAAGCGACGGUGUGAUAACAUAACGUUUAGUGCGCCGUUCGUCGCUGGCCAGGGGGUCGCUUACAGCCGUCUUUGGACAAGCCUUUCAUGUC
rnacentral:misc_RNA from 1 species